ACUCCUAAAAGGUGCACAUUAGUGGUAUUAAAUUACUACUGUGAUGAACCUUUUAGGUAUAAAUGUGGCACAAAGACGUUCUUUAGAGGGUACUGCCCUGGUGACAAACUGCUAUGCCCUUAAGGUACAAUUUUUACACGCUUUUCCAGAGAGUGUAUGGCAGCCAAGUAAACAGACUUGUUCAAAUCAGCCACUUACAAGGUUCCAUUUCUGUUAAAACACAGCUGCCUAUUUAGACAUUAGAUAGCAAAGCAGAAAGGGUUUUAACACUGAGCUACGGUGAUCAGUGACUGCAAGGCUCCAUCGAAGAUGUGCUGAUGUGGAUGGAGAGAUCACGCUAAAGGAAAGGGUCUAAAAGCCUAGACAGAGAGAUCAUAUUAAAUGUGUAGUUGUGCGCUGGAGGUGUAGUAGCCGCAGUGUAUUUGUGUGUAAUGAGCUCAUGUUCUGUUGUCCCAGCUAAAUAAAGCCUGAAGGCACCAUCUCUCUCGCUCUCUCUCUGUCUCGGACUUUUCCAUCCACCUCUUUCUCCACCUAAAAUGCUGUCUUUGUUUUUCCUUGUUCUUUUUAGAACAGAGCUUCUUUCUUUAGUUAACGUAAUGGCAUAAUUAGGCGUUCGUUUAAAGAGAUAGUCUUCAUUUAGCUUUAUGCAUUCUCUCCGUCUCUACGAGUGCCUUCCGCACGGCUCGUUCCUUCCCAACAGAAAGCCAAUUAUGUGAAGUUUAUGUGGCUUUGCCAGCCAAAUAUAGGCAAGACCGUUCAUCUCUGAUGAUAACAUGCAUGAGUCAUAAUCUGUGUGUGCGCGUGUAUGUGUGUGAGUGAGUGUGUGAAGUUAUAAAGACACCCAUGGUGCAUCUAAUGAGAUGAAUCUUGCUUAUUUAUUUAUUUAUUUGUUGUUUACUUAUACACAACUCUACAACUAUGAAUGCUUUUUGAUCAAGACCGCUGCUGCGAGAAAUGACUGUUUCUCUUCCAAAUCCAAUAGGUCAAAGGUCACUGACAGUCAGCUUGGGGAGCUUGGAUCUGAUUGGCCAUUCCAUUGUCAGUCUAUAACAAUGACCUGCCUCAUCUCAAACAAUUUGCCCUGGAUACCGAUUCUGUUUAUUUUUUUUAUUCAAGACAGAGAUUAUCUAUCAGCGAUGGAAUGCAUUAAAGGCACCGGAUCAGUUGAAAGCACCCAGCAUGCGGACACACACGCAGCAGGAGCUCCUCCGGUGUGAAACCCUCGGAGGGCCGUGGAGGAGAGAGAUCUUCGGGCGCCCCUCACCGGUUCAUUGGCACCUGCUCUUUGCCUGUACACGUUUGUUAACCGAAUGUAAACACGGUAGCAUUAGCAUUACGCUGUUUCAUCGGUUUAACGGUAGCUAAAAAUAAUCCUGGACCGAUUUCAAAUCUUCCUUCAAAAAAGAUUUUCUACUUUAACACAAUUUACGGCCGUUCAAUCACUCUUUGUUUGUUUAUGAGAUUUUGAAGUGUUUACAGGCAGAGACUAAUGACUAAAAGUCAGGCUGUAAACACGCUCUUAAUAAAACUAGCCCUGUGUAGCAGUGAGUAAUCACGGCUGAUCCUGCCAGUUUGCUCGUGUGAGUGUGUGUGUUUGUGAUCGUGUGUGUGUACUUUGCCCGUGUGGGAAAUGAUUAACAUCCAGUGACUCACAGCCCCCAACAAUAACACAGAGAGGUAAGACAGCACACACGGAUGAGGUAAACACACAAACACGCUAAAUCUAGGCCGCGCAACACACUGCCCGCAUCUACUGCGUCCUCCUGCGAGAGCUAAAAACCACAGCGCGGGAUGACAUGAAAGCUGUUUCUGCUCAAAUAUGAGAGAGUUAACAAGUGAAGGUCUGCAUCUGAACAAACUCGAGCGGAAAUCCGACCGUCUAUCUCUCUCUUGGGAGAGAGAUUGUCCUCAGGGAACUCUUGCUCAAACAGCGGACUGUGUGACUCGGUUGUGAAGUUUAUCGAGUUUAUUUCGUUACAAAACAGCCAACGGAGGGAGUGACACUUUAACCGAGCUGGCACUGAUAUAAAUGGGAAAAGCUAUUAAGGGUCAGCGUCCUCUUCCCUGGCACUUUCGACAUUCCUAAGGUGAAUAAAGGGCAUAUUACACAGAACAUGCAUUCCACCGCAUUAUGUUCCCAUUAAGCUGAUGAUACACUGGGCAACUUUUUGGACAAUGUUGCCGUAAACAGUCAACUAGGUGAGACACAGGGCCCAAGACUGAUCUAAAUUAUCCAGAUAAAAAUCUGUUACCCAUUCUCUUGAAAAGUGCCCCUAGCAUCACUGAUUAAAAAAAAAAAAAAAAAAAACAUUUGACAGGCAAAAUUGCUCAAACAGAUGCCCAAUGUAUCAUCAGCAUUAUUGCUAUAUCAUGUCUUUAUCUGUUUUUUUAUUUCGUUUUUUUAUUCCACUGCUCACAUUAUGCAUUUUUUGUGUAAAUGUCCUCCAGAGGUGCAACAGAUUCAGGAAAAGCGAACUGAUAAAUGCCUGUGUGCGCUAACUUCCAGGCCAUGGAUCUGACAAUGUUUCUCUCUUUGAAAAAUCACUUAAAUCGCCUUUGGAGCCAAAUACAAACCGGCAGGGAAAAAUCAGGCUGAGGUCAAUAUAAUUUAAAAAUGAUUUUACACUGAGCUUUAUCUAAAGAGAGAAACAGUGAGAGACAGACAAAUCAAAAGAAACAGACAGAGUUCCCUCUGAUUGCUCCUCAUCCCUCCUUCUAUAUACUCUUUCCCUGUCCUCCCUCUCAUCUGAUCAUUUCAUCCAAUCAAGGUCCCUCACAGCUGCCACACACAGAUGUGGACGCUGAACCCAAUUCAAGCUUGAGAGAGAAAGAAAACGAGAGAAUAAACCUUGAAGCAGCUGCGUGUGACAAUGGAAACAACAAAUAGCUAAAAUGCUCACACACUCUUAAAACACACAUUGUCGCCCCUCACACACACACACACACACACAGUGUUCAUACAUUGUGUCCAUCUACACAGUUUUGAUAAGCUCCUCUCACAGAGAUAGCAAGACACUUAGAAUUCAGUUUGAGGAAUAACAGACGUUCUCUGCUGUGGACUGCACCACAAGCACUUACUAUUGGCCUGUUUUAUCUGUUUCCAAAUGAAUGAAUCCAAUCUAAACUGAAUCCUGCCCCAAACAAAUCCUGCUCACAAUCAACCCUUGGUGAUGUGAGGUGACUAUAAGGAG